GACGAACACUGGCGGCGUGCCUAAUACAUGCAAGUAGAACGCUGAAGGAGGAGCUUGCUUCUCUGGAUGAGUUGCGAACGGGUGAGUAACGCGUAGGUAACCUGCCUGAUAGCGGGGGAUAACUAUUGGAAACGAUAGCUAAUACCGCAUAAUAGUAGAUGUUGCAUGACAUUUGCUUAAAAGGUGCAAUUGCAUCACUACCAGAUGGACCUGCGUUGUAUUAGCUAGUUGGUGGGGUAACGGCUCACCAAGGCGACGAUACAUAGCCGACCUGAGAGGGUGAUCGGCCACACUGGGACUGAGACACGGCCCAGACUCCUACGGGAGGCAGCAGUAGGGAAUCUUCGGCAAUGGACGGAAGUCUGACCGAGCAACGCCGCGUGAGUGAAGAAGGUUUUCGGAUCGUAAAGCUCUGUUGUAAGAGAAGAACGAGUGUGAGAGUGGAAAGUUCACACUGUGACGGUAUCUUACCAGAAAGGGACGGCUAACUACGUG
rnacentral:rRNA from 1 species